GACAGAGGGUGCAAACGUUGCUCGGAAUUACUGGGCGUAAAGCGCGUGUAGGCGGACCUGCAAGUCGGACGUGAAAGCCCUGGGCUCAACCCAGGAACUGCAUCCGAAACUGCGGGCCUGGAGUGGUGGAGAGGGAAGCAGAAUUCCUGGUGUAGAGGUGAAAUUCGUAGAUAUCAGGAGGAACACCGGUGGCGAAGGCGGCUUCCUGGACACUUACUGACGCUGAGACGCGAAAGCGGUGGGGAGCAAACAGG
rnacentral:rRNA from 1 species